CCUCGUGAUCGGAGCAGUCGGGAGAGUCUGAUCGAUAAGCGAGGUGGGAGGGGGGGGGGGAGCGAUUGCAAAUCGUUAAUUAAAGUUGCUGUUUCGUGUUUGAUUAUUGAUUAGCUAUGUCAGGCUGUGGUGACGUCACGCUGGGCUCUGCCGCGGAUUUCCCCGAGCUGCUGAAAACUCUGCUGGAUUUCCCGCCCCGUCCGGACCUGGACAGCACCGAACAUUCAGGACGUCACCUCACCGCCUCGACCAAUCCGGGGACCCAUGGGAGGAGAAAAGAAACCAUGACGCGGACCCCGAGCCUCAUGAAUAUUCAUGAUUACUCCCGCUCGGCUCCUCUGUGAAGGGCGGGUCUGGUAGUUUUAAGGACAAGCGCGGCACUGGAACACAAUUUAACCGAAACAAACCCCCCAAACCAAACCCCUCCGUGUGUGUGGAUUGAUAACCGGAAUGGGCUCGGCCGAGCCAGCCGAACCGGGCUCCGGACCCGCCGGCUCGAUUCCGCGCGUCUGGAGGAGAGCGAUCGAAACCCCGCCGAAACUGCUGGAAGAGCGCGAGCGCGGUGAGCACGGGACCCGGCGACGCGGCGAGCGCGUG